GUACGGGAGGCAGCAGUAGGGAAUAUUGGACAAUGCCCGCAAGGGUGAUCCAGCCAUGCCGCGUGCAGGAAGACGGCCCUAUGGGUUGUAAACUGCUUUUACACCGGAGAAAACCCCCCUACGUGUAGGGGGCUGAUAGUAUGGUGAGAAUAAGCAUCGGCUAACUUCGUGCCAGCAGCCGCGGUAAGACGAGGGAUGCAAGCGUUAUCCGGAUUCAUUGGGUUUAAAGGGAGCGUAGGCGGCCCAAUAAGUCAGUGGUGAAAUCUCCUGGCUUAACUAGGAAAUUGCCAUUGAUACUGUUGGGCUUGAGUACAGUUGCCGUUGGCGGAAUAUGACAUGUAGUGGUGAAAUACAUAGAGAUGUCAUAGAACACCGAUUGCGAAGGCAGCUAACGAAACUGUAACUGACGCUGAGGCUCGAAAGUGCGGGGAUCAAACAGGAUUAGAUACCCCGGUAGUCCC
rnacentral:rRNA from 1 species